rfam:Mus musculus chromosome X, GRC primary reference assembly.
CACCCCUCGCAAUGGGCAAAGAGACACCUUGUUGGUAGUGGUGUUCUUGUGUCAGUCAGGGCAGAGAAGAUGGCAGGCCUUUGUUCAUCUUAGUUUGAUGCCAGACUUGGUGGCCAAAGCUGUUUCAUGCCUAGGGCACAUAA